AAUUACCCACUCCCAGCACGGGGAGGUAGUGACGAAAAAUAACGAUACGGGACUCAUCCGAGGCCCCGUAAUCGGAAUGAGUACACUUUAAAACUUUUCCCGAGGAUCAAUUGGAGGGUAAGUCUGGUGCCAGCAGCCGCGGUAAUUCCAGCUCCAAUAGCGUAUAUUAAAGUUGUUGCGGUUAAAAAGCUCGUAGUCGAAUCUGUGUCCCGCGCCGCUGGUUCAUCGCUCGCGGUGUUCAACUGGCGUGUCUCGCGGGACGUCCUGCCGGUGGGCGCUCGUAUCGUUUCGGCGGUGCGUGGCCCAACUCGUUUCCGUCUCGCGCGGUUGCGAAUCCCAUCGCGGUGCUCUUUAUUGAGUGUCGAGGUGGGCCGGCACGUUUACUUUGAACAAAUUAGAGUGCUUAAAGCAGGCCAAUUUUGCCUGAAUAUUGUGUGCAUGGAAUAAUGGAAUAGGACCUCGGUUCUAUUUUGUUGGUUUUAGGAACCCCGAGGUAAUGAUUAAUAGGAACGGAUGGGGGCAUUCGUAUUGCGACGUUAGAGGUGAAAUUCUUGGAUCGUCGCAAGACGGACAGAAGCGAAAGCAUUUGCCAAAAACGUUUUCAUUGAUCAAGAACGAAAGUUAGAGGUUCGAAGGCGAUCAGAUACCGCCCUAGUUCUAACCAUAAACGAUGCCAGCUAGCGAUCCGCCGACGUUCCUCCGAUGACUCGGCGGGCAGCUUCCGGGAAACCAAAGCUUUUGGGUUCCGGGGGAAGUAUGGUUGCAAAGCUGAAACUUAAAGGAAUUGACGGAAGGGCACCACCAGGAGUGGAGCCUGCGGCUUAAUUUGACUCAACACGGGACACCUCACCAGGCCCGGACACCGGAAGGAUUGACAGAUUGAGAGCUCUUUCUUGAUUCGGUGGGUGGUGGUGCAUGGCCGUU
rnacentral:rRNA from 1 species